UACGUAGGGGGCAAGCGUUGUCCGGAUUCAUUGGGCGUAAAGAGCGUGUAGGCGGCCAGGUAGGUCGGUUGUGAAAACUGGAGGCUCAACCUUCAGAGGUCGACCGAAACCAUCUGACUAGAGUCCGGAAGAGGAGAGUGGAAUUCCUGGUGUAGCGGUGAAAUGCGCAGAUAUCAGGAGGAACACCGGUGGCGAAGGCGGUGGUCUGGGCCGGCACUGACGCUGAGGUGCGAAAGCGUGGGGAGCAAACAGG
rnacentral:rRNA from 1 species